rnacentral:rRNA from 1 species
AAAGGAAUUGACGGGGGCCCGCACAAGCGGAGGAGCAUGUGGUUUAAUUCGAUGAUACGCGAGGAACCUUACCCGGGCUCGAACGUAUGAUGAAUAAUAUGGAAACAUGUUAGUCGAAAGACAUUAUACGAGGUGCUGCAUGGUUGUCGUCAGCUCGUGCCGUGAGGUGUCAGGUUAAGUCCUAUAACGAGCGCAACCCCUACUGUUAGUUGCCAGCAUGUAAAGAUGGGGACUCUAGCGGAACUGCCUACGCAAGUAGAGAGGAAGGUGGGGAUGACGUCAAAUCAGCACGGCCCUUAUGUCCGGGGCGACACACGUGCUACAAUGGUCGAUACAGAGGGCAGCUACUUGGUGACAAGGUGCAAAUCUCAAAAAUCGAUCUCAGUUCGGAUCGGAGUCUGUAACUCGACUCCGUGAAGUUGGAUUCGCUAGUAAUCGCACAUCAGCCAUGGUGCGGUGAAUACGUUCCCGGGCCUUGUACACACCGCCCGU